rnacentral:rRNA from 1 species
CAGCAGCCGCGGUAAUACGAAGGGUGCAAGCGUUACUCGGAAUUACUGGGCGUAAAGCGUGUGUAGGUGGUUGUUUAAGUCUGUCGUGAAAGCCCUGGGCUCAACCUGGGAAUUGCGGUGGAUACUGGGCGACUAGAGUGCGGUAGAGGAUAGUGGAAUUUCCGGUGUAGCAGUGAAAUGCGUAGAGAUCGGAAGGAACAUCAGUGGCGAAGGCGACUAUCUGGGCCAACACUGACACUGAGGCACGAAAGCGUGGGGAGCAAACAGGAUUAGAUACCCCCGUAGUCCCUGUCUCUUAUAC